rnacentral:rRNA from 1 species
UACGUAGGGUGCAAGCGUUAAUCGGAAUUACUGGGCGUAAAGCGUGCGCAGGCGGCUUUGCAGGACAGAUGUGAAAUCCCCGGGCUCAACCUGGGAACUGCAUUUGUGACUGCAAGGCUGGAGCACGGUAGAGGGGGAUGGAAUUCCGCGUGUAGCAGUGAAAUGCGUAGAUAUGCGGAGGAACACCGAUGGCGAAGGCAAUCCCCUGGACCUGUACUGACGCUCAUGCACGAAAGCGUGGGGAGCAAACAGG